AUGAAUAAGAGAUACUUACAGAAAGCAACAAAAGGAAAACUGCUAAUAAUAAUAUUUGUUGUAACUCUGUGGGGGAAAUUAGCAUCUGGAGCAAAUCAUCACAAAGCUCACCAUGUUAAAACUGGAACCUGUGAGGUGGUGGCUCUCCACAGAUGUUGUAAUAAGAACAAGAUAGAAGAAAGGUCACAGACAGUCAAGUGCUCCUGCUUUCCUGGGCAGGUAGCAGGUACCACCCGAGCAGCUCCUUCUUGUGUUGAUGCUUCAAUAGUGGAACAGAAAUGGUGGUGUCACAUGCAACCAUGUCUUGAAGGGGAGGAAUGUAAAGUUCUUCCAGAUCGGAAAGGAUGGAGCUGUUCCUCUGGGAAUAAAGUGAAAACAACUAGGGCAAACGUGUAAAACUCUGCAAGUCCGAAUGGAGAAGUAGAAAAAAGAGGUUUCUGCUGUGCCUGAUGACAAUUUUUGAUUUUUCCACAUACACAAAAUAUUCUGGCUCCAUGCUGGAGCACUAGUUGUGAUGAAUCCUAGGCUUGGUCGGAUUCUAAGGAAGGGCCAGAAGGUUCGUUGAGGAAUAAAGAGUCAAAACCACUCCAGAAAUGUGUUCCAGCCCUGGUUUAUUACUCUCACAGCAGCAGGUAACUCGAUAGCUAAAGACAACUCAAGUCUCUCUCCAGGUUG